GAUGAACGCUGGCGGCGUGCCUAAUACAUGCAAGUCGAGCGAACAGAUGAGGAGCUUGCUCCUCUGACGUUAGCGGCGGACGGGUGAGUAACACGUGGAUAACCUACCUAUAAGACUGGGAUAACUUCGGGAAACCGGAGCUAAUACCGGAUAAUAUAUUGAACCGCAUGGUUCAAUAGUGAAAGACGGUUUUGCUGUCACUUAUAGAUGGAUCCGCGCCGCAUUAGCUAGUUGGUAAGGUAACGGCUUACCAAGGCAACGAUGCGUAGCCGACCUGAGAGGGUGAUCGGCCACACUGGAACUGAGACACGGUCCAGACUCCGACGGGAGGCAGCAGUAGGGAAUCUUCCGCAAUGGGCGAAAGCCUGACGGAGCAACGCCGCGUGAGUGAUGAAGGUCUUCGGAUCGUAAAACUCUGUUAUUAGGGAAGAACAAAUGUGUAAGUAACUAUGCACGUCUUGACGGUACCUAAUCAGAAAGCCACGGCGAACUACGU
rnacentral:rRNA from 1 species